rnacentral:rRNA from 1 species
GACGAACGCUGGCGGCGUGCUUAACACAUGCAAGUCGAACGAAGUGGCGAACGGGUGAGUAACGCGUAAUCAACCUGCCCUUCAGAGGGGGACAACAGUUGGAAACGACUGCUAUUACCGCAUACUGAAGGAGGGGAUUGUGUUUGAUUAGCUAGUGGGAGGGGUAACGGCCCACCAAGGUGAUGAUCAGUAGCGGGGCUGGGAGUGUGAACAGCCACAUUGGGACUGGGACACGGCCCAGACUCCUACGGGAGGCAGCAGUGGGGAAUCUUCCGAAAUGGACGAAAGUCUGACGGAGCAACGCCGCGUGAGUGAUGACGGCCUUCGGGUUGUAAAGCUCUGUUAAUCGGGACGCGGUACCGGAAUAGAAAGCCACGGCUAACUACGUGCCAGCAGCCGCGGUAAUUC